CCUACGGGAGGCAGCAGUAGGGAAUCUUCCACAAUGGGCGAAAGCCUGAUGGAGCAACGCCGCGUGGGUGAAGAAGGUCUUCGGAUCGUAAAACCCUGUUGUUAGAGAAGAAAGUGCGUGAGAGUAACUGUGCACGUUUCGACGGUAUCUAACCAGACAGCCACGGCUAACUACGUGCCAGCAGCCGCGGUAAUACGUAGGUGGCAAGCGUUAUCCGGAUUUAUUGGGCGUAAAGGGAACGCAGGCGGGCUUUUAAGUCUGAUGUGAAAGCCUUCGGCUUAACCGGAGUAGUGCAUUGGAAACUGGGAGACGUGAGUGCAGAAGAGGAGAGUGGAACUCCAUGUGUAGCGGUGAAAUGCGUAGAUAUAUGGAAGAACACCAGUGGCGAAAGCGGCUCUCUGGUCUGUAACUGACGCUGAGGUUCGAAAGCGUGGGUAGCAAACAGGAUUAGAUACCCUAGUAGUC
rnacentral:rRNA from 1 species